CAGUCGCCACGGGAAUACGUAGGGUGCAAGCGUUAAUCGGAAUUACUGGGCGUAAAGCGUGCGCAGGCGGUUAUAUAAGUCAGAUGUGAAAUCCCCGGGCUCAACCUGGGAACUGCAUUUGAGACUGUAUGGCUAGAGUGUGUCAGAGGGGGGUAGAAUUCCACGUGUAGCAGUGAAAUGCGUAGAUAUGUGGAGGAAUACCGAUGGCGAAGGCAGCCCCCUGGGCCAAUACUGACGCUCAUGCACGAAAGCGUGGGGAGCAAACAGGAUUAGAUACCCCCGUAGUCCCUGUCUCUUAUAU
rnacentral:rRNA from 1 species